AACGGUAUGGGUCGUCGAUUCGGA
rnacentral:miRNA from 1 species